rnacentral:rRNA from 1 species
UACAGGAGGGUGCAAACGUUGUUCGGAAUUACUGGGCGUAAAGCGUGUGUAGGGCGCUCGUAGGUCGGAUGUGAAAGCUCUCGGCUCAACCGGGAAAGUGCAUUCGAAACCACAAGGCUUGAGUGUCGGAGAGGAAGGCGGAAUUGUCGGUGUAGAGGUGAAAUCGUAGAUAUCGACAGGAACACCUGCGGCGAAAGCGGCCUUCUGGACGAACACUGACGCUGAGACGACGAAAGCGAUGGGCAAACAGGG